UACGUAGGGGGCAAGCGUUGUCCGGAUUUAUUGGGCGUAAAGAGCGUGUAGGCGGCCAAACAGGUCAGCUGUGAAAACUCGAGGCUCAACCUCGAGACGUCGGUUGAAACCGUUUGGCUAGAGUCCGGAAGAGGAGAGUGGAAUUCCCGGUGUAGCGGUGAAAUGCGCAGAUAUCGGGAGGAACACCUGUGGCGAAAGCGGCGCACUGGACCAUAACUGACGCUGAUGCGCGAAAGCUAGGGGAGCAAACAGG
rnacentral:rRNA from 1 species